GUCCAAAUUAAGGAAAUCACGUAUCCGCGUGCCAGCUGCUCUAUCUACACCACUAGUACCUGCAAUUGGACCUUCUUGCCUUUGGCCGUGGCCAGCAACUAUACGAGUCAAUAAUUGGACUGCAUUCCUCAAAUCUUGCUCGGUAGCAUUAAUAGGGGGUUCUUGAGGUGCAGCUUCCCUCCUUAGAUCUUCUGGAGAUGGAGGGGUCGGGGAAGUCUGUGAUAGAGACUCAUCUUGAGCCUCACCUUGAAC
rnacentral:lncRNA from 1 species